UGGGGAAUUUUCCGCAAUGGGCGAAAGCCUGACGGAGCAACGCCGCGUGAGGGACGAAGGCCUCUGGGCUGUAAACCUCUUUUCUCAAGGAAGAAGAUAUGACGGUACUUGAGGAAUAAGCCACGGCUAAUUCCGUGCCAGCAGCCGCGGUAAUACGGGAGUGGCAAGCGUUAUCCGGAAAUUAUUGGGCGUAAAGCGUCCGCAGGCGGCCUUUCAAGUCUGCUGUUAAAGCGUGGAGCUUAACUCCAUUAUGGCAGUGGAAACUGAUCGGCUUGAGUAUGGUAGGGGCAGAGGGAAUUCCCGGUGUAGCGGUGAAAUGCGUAGAUAUCGGGAAGAACACCAGUGGCGAA
rnacentral:rRNA from 1 species